UACAGAGGGUGCGAGCGUUGUUCGGAAUUAUUGGGCGUAAAGCGCUUGUAGGCGGCACGUCAAGUCGCGUGUGAAAUCCCCAGGCUUAACCUGGGAAGUGCGCGCGAAACUGACGAGCUUGAGUGCCGGAGAGGGUCGCGGAAUUCCCGGUGUAGAGGUGAAAUUCGUAGAUAUCGGGAGGAACACCAGUGGCGAAGGCGGCGUCCUGGACGGACACUGACGCUGAGACGCGAAAGCGUGGGGAGCAAACAGG
rnacentral:rRNA from 1 species